rnacentral:lncRNA from 1 species
CUUGCCUGCCCCUCGUCCUGGGGAAGAGAGAGGACUGAGAGGACACCACAGCCCCCACCACUCCCUGGACGCUGGGUGCGGGUCUGGUGAAGACACAGCCAACCAGCCAUGGCGGCUCUUAGAGCCUGCGCUCAGGCCUCGUCUCCCAGUGGGCACCAGGGGAGGCACAGUCUGCAGAGGGGAUGUUUUCUCUUCUGCAAUCACAGCCCAACCAGGACUCAAGGGUCAGUACUUGGGAUCGAACCCAGGGUGUUCUGCCACUGAGCUACACCCCAGUCCUUUUUAAUUUUUAUUUCAAGACCAAGUCUUGCUAAGUUGCUGAGGCUGGCCUCAAUUUGUGACCCUCCUGCCUUGGCCUCCUGUGUUGCUGGGAUUGCAGGUGUGGCCACCACAGCCAGAAAAGUCAGUGCUUUUAAGAGCAGAGCUGAGAAGACCUUUCCGUGUUUCGGGGUCAUCCGGCUUUCAGUGACUACAGUCGCCAGACGCCGCGGACCAAGCUCGUGGGCUGUGGCUGUGGAACGCAUAGGGGAGUAAACUGAGUUCCGAGUCCCCUCCUCCCCCAACUGGAACAGUCAAUGUCUCAUAAAAACCAGAUCCAGCUGAGAAACUGCGCUCCACGUCCCUCUUUCGUGGGCCUGGCGAACAGUGCAGCACUCACUCCCCAGAGCCCCACUGAGUUCCAGCAUCCACCCAGGGAGCAAGGGCUCUAACCCUGGCUGUGUGGGGGGGACGUGCUCAGACUCCCUGGACAGGCAGCCGAGGGCGCCAGCCUCCGAGGGUGACCCCGCUGGCAGCGGCACGGCCCCCUGAGGGCCACCCCCUGGCUUGAGCACACUGGUGAGUCCGGCGAGGACAGCUCAGGGGCAGCACGCUCUCCGAGGGUCAGCAGCUCCUGCUGGGGACAGGCAUGGGGCACUCGUGGAAAGGGAGCGCUCUCCUGGCUCGGCCUCACAUACUGCGAGAUCACAAGGACCACAAACAGAGGACUUUCCACCAGAAGCUGCUCCCCUGGACGUAUCACGCUG